AUAGGACGGAAGAAAUGUAAAGGAAGAAAAUGGAGAAGACAUUAACGUUGACAACUUAAAUACAACAACUGUCAUUGAUUUUCUUCAUGAAACAUUGGGAAAAAGCUAGGACAUAGUUUUUCUAACUAUUGUUACUCGUAUAUUUAGAGGGAUUAGACAUUUUUAUCUAUGUAUCAACUUCUUAAAAGGAUCUCUUUUGUUUUGUGUUUAAUACUUUAACGUACAAUUGUUUUAAAACGAAUAUACAGUAUACACUGUGGAAUUAUUUGGUAUGUCUUGACUGUCAUGUUCAUUUCAAUCUUG
rnacentral:lncRNA from 1 species